rnacentral:rRNA from 1 species
AACGAACGCUGGCGGCAGGCCUAACACAUGCAAGUCGAGCGAGGACUUCGGUCCUAGCGGCGGACGGGUGUGUAACGCGUGGGAACGUGCCCUUUGCUUCGGAAUAGUACUGGGAAACUGGGAGUAAUACCGGAUGAGCCCUGUGGGGGCAAGAUUUAUCGGCGGAGGAUAGGCCCGCGUUGUUUUAGGUAGUUGGGGGGGUAUUGGCCUACCAAGCCGACGAUACUUAGCUGGGUUGAGAGGAUGAGCAGCCACACUGGGACUGAGACACGGCCCAGACACCUACGGGAGGGAGCAGUAGGGAAUCCUAGACAAUGGGGGAAACCCUAAUCGAGCCAUGGCGCGUGAGCGAUGAAGGCCUUAGGAGUGUAAAGCUCUUUCAGCUGGGAAGAUAAUGACGGUACCAGCAGAAGAAGCCCCGGCUAACUCCGGGC